rnacentral:rRNA from 1 species
UGCAGUCUUUGGGUAACCAAGGCAAACUGCUGAGUAACACGUAGCUAACCUGCCCUGAUGUCAAGGAUAAUCUCGGGAAACUGAGGAUAGUACUUGAUAAAAGAUUUUUCCUGGAAGGGUAUAUCUUUCAAAGCUUCGGCGCAUCAGGGUGGGGCUGCGGUGGAUUAGGCUGAUGUUAAGGUAAACGCUUAACAUACCUAUAAUCCAUAGGGGCCAUGAGAGUGGUAGCCCCCAGAUGGGUUCUGAGACAUUAACCCAGGUCCUACGGGACGCAGCAGUUACGAAACCUUCACAAUGCACGCAAGUGUGAUGAGGGAAUCCCAAGUGCUGGCGUUUUGCGUCAGCUUUUAUAGAGUAUAAAUAGCUCUAAGAAUAAGUGGUGGGUAAGACGGUUGCCAGCCGCCACGGUAAUAACCGCGCCACGAGUGGUGACCACGUAUAUUGGGUCUAAAGCGUCCGUAGCCGGUCUGCUAAGUCCUCUGCGAAAUCUUGUAGAAAACUACAAGGAGUGCAGAAGAUACUAGUAGACUUGGGACUGGAAGGGGCUAGAGGUACUUCUAGGGUAGGGGUGAAAUCCUAUAAUCCUGGAGGGACCACCUGUGGCGAAGGCGUCUAGCUGGAACGGAUCCGACGGUGAGGGACGAAAGCCAGGGGAGCGAACGGGAUUAGAUACCCCGGUAGUCCUGGCCGUAAACGAUGCCCGUUAGGUAUUGGUGUUCUUUUGUGGGACUCCAGUGCCGUAGGGAAGCCAUUAAACGGGCCACCUGGGAAGUACGCUCGC